GCGAACGCUGGCGGCAGGCCUCACACCUGCAAGUCGAACGGAUCCUUCGGGAUUAGUGGCGGACGGGUGAGUAACACGUGGGAACGUGCCCUUUGGUUCGGAACAACUCAGGGAAACUUGAGCUAAUACCGGAUGUGCCCUUCGGGGGAAAGAUUUAUCGCCAUUGGAGCGGCCCGCGUCUGAUUAGCUAGUUGGUGAGGUAACGGCCCACCAAGGCGACGAUCAGUAGCUGGUCUGAGAGGAUGAUCAGCCACACUGGGACUGAGACACGGCCCAGACUCCUACGGGAGGCAGCAGUGGGGAAUCUUGCGCAAUGGGCGAAAGCCUGACGCAGCCAUGCCGCGUGAAUGAUGAAGGUCUUAGGAUUGUAAAAUUCUUUCAGCGGGGACGAUAAUGACGGUACCCGCAGAAGAAGCUCCGGCUAACUUCGUG
rnacentral:rRNA from 1 species